rnacentral:misc_RNA from 1 species
UCUCCGUUGGUGAACCAGCGGAGGGAUCAUUACAGGACUCGCAAGACUCCCGUAACCACUGUGAACCUACCUAUACUCGUUGCCUCGGCGGGUGCUCCGGCUCGCUCCGGAGCGCUACGCCCGCCGGCGGCACACAACUCAUUGUCUGACUCUAAGCAUCUCCGAGCCAUACACAAACGAAUCAAAACUUUCAACAACGGAUCUCUUGGUUCUGGCAUCGAUGAAGAACGCAGC